UAAUUUUUGUAAUUAGGGUAAUUUGGUUUGAUGUAUGUGAUUUGAUAUUAGUUGUUGUUAAUUUUGACGAAUUGUUAAAUUCUUAAUGGAUGCAGCGCUUUGAGAUAGUUAAUGGUGUCACUGAAGUUGAAGGAAUAGCAGAGGAGAAAACUGCAGGUGCUGAAGAGGAUGAAGAAAAAGGAGUACCUGCUUUUUGGCUCAAUGCAAUGAAAAACAAUGAAG